AGAGCAGACCAAACGCCAAUGCAGAAGGCUCAAGAAAGAGGCAAACAGACUAGCCACUGCUCCAGGAUGACUGUGGCUCUUUAUGAGUGAAGAGAAAGGGUGGAGACUGAAGACAGAACUGGGGACAGUGACAGGCUUGGGGAAGAACAGCUGAUUCAGCAGUCCCAAGCAUCUGAACACAAGGUGGACAUUCUCCAGGGUGACAUCGCAAAAUACAUGGGUGAAGACAACCUAGUGGCCGUGACUUGGAGCACCCUUCCUCACAAUGAAGGCAUUCUGGGCCAGCCUGAAAAACAGCAUGGAAAUAAAUCACCUAAGUACAAGGGACUGGCUUAAAAAUGGUCUAAUGAAAUGUCAAAAGAGUUCUCCUGUGGAGCUUCGGAGAAGUUUCCUUACCCUUUAAAAAAAGAAAAGAAGAAAAGGAAAAGGGACCUCGGUGACAACGCUGUGAACAUCUAUGGAUUCCGCAUUCAAGUACUUUGUCACAACUGUCUCCACAAGUUGGUACAUCUUCUGUACAAGGCAAAGAAAACUCUAAAAACAUACAAAAAGUCAAUGUUAAUAAUGAGACAUUAUUAUUAAACAUCAACAAAGUGCCAUGUU
rnacentral:lncRNA from 1 species